CCCAGGGGGAGCAGGAUGAGGACCCUCAGGGGAGGAGCCGGGUAGCAGGCCGCCCGACUCCCAUCCGGUUCUGAGGUGCUUGGGGUUCACCAGAGCAGCCAGCGGUGGAAGCAGCCCGAUCUCAGUUCCAAUGCGAGGCAGCCUUGCUGAAGGGUGGAAGAGAACGAGAAAGCCAGCCACGCCUUGAGCACAGGCGUCUCCUUCACUGCUCCCAGAGCCAAAAUUCCCUCCACUCCAGCAGAGAGAGCCAGGAAGGGUGGAAACCAGAAGGGCUCUCAGUUCGGUGCAACCCAGCUGUGUGUGUUGUUCAACCACAGACUGCAGAAUCUGACCACCCUAACUAGCGAAGAAGACAUGAGUCCCCUGCAAUUUGCCGAGUUGAGGAGUGCCUUUAGCAUUUCACUACUGUCAUUUAUUUUUGGAUUCAUCCAACAUUUACCAAGCACGUUCAAACUGCUAGAUUCUGUACAAAGUGCUGGGGAUACAAGGCCAAGAGGACAUAACGUCUGACCCUCAAGAAUUUAAAUUAACAGGGAUUGGACCCAGGGCUGAAGGUCCUUUGCCCUCUCUGCCUCGAGGGCCUUGGUGACAAGAAUGCACAGGAGCCAGCGUCCAGCAGAGCAGGGAGCACGCCCUGGCUCCUUGGUGUCCCCUGUGCUGAGCGGAGCAGGAGCCACACUCAUGCCCAUGUGACAGAGUGGGAGGGGCUGGAAAGGGAUCCCUUUCCUUUUCGAUUGUGAGGGGGACGUAAGUUACAGUUCAUCAGACAAGGCUGGAAGAAGCUUCCUCGGACUAUCUCCGGAGGGCAGGCUCUGUGGGUGCCCAGUGUAGGGAGCCGUGCUGAAGGGGCCAUGCAGUGACUGCCUGCGCACCGCCCAGGUGUCUCUUCUGUGUCUGAACGAUGGUAAGGAAGUGCUCAGUCUCCAGACCACCUUGCUAGGUCGCACACUAAUAACGCUGUACCACAGCAGCACCCAGACACGCUCUGCAAAGUGAAGGUUAUUUAUUUCUCGUGAUGAUUUUAACAGGCAAAUGCUAUGCUGGG
rnacentral:lncRNA from 1 species